rnacentral:rRNA from 1 species
CCUACGGGAGGCUGCAGUGGGGAAUAUUGCACAAUGGGGGAAACCCUGAUGCAGCGACGCCGCGUGAGUGAAGAAGUAUUUCGGUAUGUAAAGCUCUAUCAGCAGGGACGAAGAAAGACGGUACCUGACUAAGAAGCCCCGGCUAACUACGGGCCAGAAGCCGCGGUAAUACGUAGGGGGCAAGAGUUAUCCGGAUGUACUGGGUGGAAAGGGAGCGUGGACGGCGGUGAAAGUCUGAAGUGAAAGCCCAGGGCUCAACCCUGGGACUGCUUUGGAAACUGUGGAGCUAGAGUGCUGGAGAGGUAAGUGGAAUUCCUAGUGUAGCGGUGAAAUGCGUAGAUAUUAGGAGGAACACCAGUGGCGAAGGCGGCUUACUGGACAGUAACUGACGUUGAGGCUCGAAAGCGUGGGGAGCAAACAGGAUUAGAUACCCCUGUAGUC